ACCAUCAUGGCCUAAUCACCUUCCAAAGAAUCUACCUCCCAACAUCAUCACAUUGAUGACUACAAUGACUACAAAUUUUGGAAGAACCCAAACAUUCUGACCAUAGCAACCGCCCACAAACAUCCAAAUACUACCCUGGGGAGUGAGAUGGGAGGAGAAAACCUGAAAAACUGAACAUUUUUCAGAAUCCUUCAGGAAGACACUAAGAUAGCUAAGGAAAAUAGUAGCAUGGGGGAACCUGGCGUAUACUCCUUGGAUGAGCUUGAGGCAAUUAGAGAUGGGGUUUCUCUCUAUUGUCCAGGCUGGAGUGCAGUGAUGUGAACAUUGCAGCCUCUAACUCUUGAGCUCAAGCAAUCCUCCGGCCUCAGCUUCCUGAGUAUCUGAGACUAUAGGAAGAGAGAGACAUCAAGUAAUUGCCUAGUUUAGACCACAUUCUAUAAGCAAGACUCUAGGUUUUCCCAGAGACUUGAGCAUCCAUGACAUGCUGAAAUAUAUACUGGGAAAAAGACCCUGCAGCCCCUUCAUGAAGGCAUUGAGCAGAUGGGCAGCCUGCCACACUAGAACCUGGCUGUGCUUCCAGUUGUUCACAGGUGCUCUUUCUUGCUGGCUUUGAUGAUGCAAGCUGCCAUGCUCACGCUGUGAGUUGCCCUAUGCUAAAGACCAUAUGAGAAGGAACUCAGAACAGUCAACAAGAAAGUGAGGCCUUCAGUCCAACAACCCACAAGAAAUUGAAUCCCAUCAAAAACCACAUGAGUUUGGAAGCAGAUUCUUCCUCAGUGGAACAGUCCAGUGAGACUCCCACUCUGGCCAAUGCCUUGUCUGCUGCCUUAUGAA